rnacentral:misc_RNA from 1 species
CUUGAUGUUUCAAACAACAACUUAUCGGGAACGAUUCCUUCUGGUGGACAGCUGACUACAUUUCCAGCUUCAAGAUAUGAAAACAAUUCAGGCCUUUGUGGCGUCCCCCUUCCUCCUUGUGGCUCGGGCAAUGGACACCAUUCAUCGAGUAUUUACCAUCAUGGGAAUAAGAAGCCUACAACUAUAGGAAUGGUGGUGGGUAUUAUGGUCUCUUUUAUAUGUAUUAUCCUACUUGUUAUUGCCCUUUAUAAGAUUAAAAAGACUCAGAAUGAGGAGGAGAAGAGAGAUAAAUACAUUGAUAGCCUUCCAACUUCUGGCAGUAGCAGCUGGAAACUAUCAACCGUUCCCGAGCCUCUAAGCAUUAAUGUGGCAACAUUUGAAAAACCAUUGAGGAAGCUGACCUUUGGUCAUCUUCUAGAAGCGACCAACGGGUUCAGCUCUGAGAGCAUGAUUGGCUCUGGAGGUUUUGGUGAAGUCUAUAAGGCUCAGCUGAGAGAUGGCAGUACUGUCGCAAUCAAGAAGCUCGUGCACGUAACAGGUCAAGGAGACAGAGAAUUCAUGGCUGAAAUGG